rnacentral:rRNA from 1 species
GGCCUUUAGCCAAACAAGUAUUAAAGGUCCGACCUGCCCAGUGAAACUCUUAAACGGCCGCGGUAUCCUAACCGUGCAAAGGUAGCGCAAUCACUUGCCCCUUAAUUAGGGGCUAGUAUGAACGGUUUCAUGAGGGUCUAACUGUCUCCUAAGGCCUAUCAAUGAAUUUGAUGAUUCAGUACAAAUGCUGAAAUAAUCUCACAAGACGAGAAGACCCUGUGGAACUUAAAGUUCCAAAGCUAGCAACAAUCGCAAUAUACCGGCAAGCCUAGCAAAAACUUUCAGUUGGGGCAACUACGGAGUACAACAAAACCUCCACGAGCUGCAGAUAACACCUGCACACUAAGGCCCACGCGCCGAUACCAGAUCCAGCCAAGCUGAUCUACGAACCGAGCUACCCCAGGGAUAACAGCGCCAUCCCCUUCAAGAGUUCAUAUCACCAAGGGGGUUUACGACCUCGAUGUUGGAUCAGGACCCCCAGGCGGUGCAGCCGCUGCCAAAGGCUCGUUUGUUCAACGAAUAAUGUCCU